GCAAUAUGCGUUUCGCCGUUUUCGUUGCUCUCUCUCUCUCUCUCCAUUCUCUGCAAAGCCCCAUGUCGUCUCGUUCUCUCCUCCAUUAUCCUCUUCUCCCCAUCGUCUCGUGCUCAGAUCCCCAUUAAAGCUUUCAAACCUGCAUAUGAUUCCGAACGUUUAAACCCCAUUAAAGCUUUCGAACCCUAACCCCAUCGUCUCCGGGAUUUGUCAUCGAGGCCAACGUUAUUUUUCUCAAUCACUGGUAUAUAUAUAUACCUCUCUCUGUGAUUUUCAGUAAAUUUAGGUUGAUUUGUUGAGUUGAUUUGUUUAAAGCUUUUCGGUAAAAAUUUCCCAAUAUACAGCCCUUUUGCCAUCGAUGAUUUCUCUACUAUUAUCUUCAUUGUGCUCUCAAAAUAGACUUGAGGGAUUGCUGAUCUCACAUUGAUCUGGAUUGCCACAAAAAUCAAGAGUGCAUCUGGAACUUGUCAUCCUGAAAGAAUUGCAUAGAAGAGCAGCCCUACAAGAGCUUGUCCCAAUUACCAGUUUACAAUUGACAACGGUGAUAAAUGGGGCAGAUAACUACAUACAGAGCAAGUGUGUACUAUUUAUCAAUCAACAAACUAUGCACAAGAUUAGGAUGUCAUCGUCAGUUUCUUCAUCUUCUCUUGCUAAUCAUACUUCGGAACAACCCAAUGUGCACUUGUGGGAAGCUCGAUUCACUUAGAACAUCGAAUACGCCAACAAAUUCGGGGCGAUCAUUCUUUGGGUGUCCAAAGGAUUACCACACUUCAACUAUUUCAAAUGGGUCGAUAGCAGUGAGGAAAGAGAAAAAAGAAUUUGUGAAGAUAGAAAUUGAGUUGUUAAGAAAGGAGGAAGAGCUUCGAAAAAAAGAAUAAGAGAUUGCAAAGAUGGAGUUGGGAGUCCACAACGACCAAGUCGAUAUUCAAAGGCAACAAGCAGACAUCCAGCAUGAACGCACACUUCUUCGUAUCUAUUGGGUCAUUUCGAUAUGAAUUUCAUUGUACUUAAUAUGAUCACAGUGAAUACCCUUUGAACGGAAACAUUGUAAUCUCAACCAACUGGAUGUAGUCACAACUAUUUUGAGUUGUUGGAUGGGUGAAACACCGCCAUGGUAAUGUAUAUAUAGAUUUCAAUGCUUGGAUAAUUUUCAACUUUCAUUUCCUUGUGAAAGGGUCUUAAAACAGGGGAAUGUAUUUAGUUAUA